rnacentral:pre_miRNA from 1 species
GUGUUCCUAUGUGUGUAUGGUGUUCAGCACCAAGGACAGGUAUGUGUGUGUUCCUAUGUGUGUAUGGUGUUCAGCACCAAGGACAGGUAUGUGUGUGU